ACUGCUCAGUAACACGUGGACAACCUGCCCUUAAGUUGGGUAUAAACCCGGGAAACUGGGUAUAAUACCCGAUAGGUCUCGAUUGCUGGAAUGCAUCGAGAUUUAAAGCUCCGGCGCCUAAGGAUGGGUCUGCGGCCUAUCAGGUAGUAGUGGGUGUAGCGUACCUACUAGCCUACGACGGGUACGGGUUGUGAGAGCAAGAGCCCGGAGAUGGAUUCUGAGACACGAAUCCAGGCCCAACGGGGUGCAGCAGGCGCGAAAACUUUACAAUGCUGGCAACAGCGAUAAGGGAACCUCGAGUGCCAGGUUACAAAUCUGGCUGUCGAGAUGCCUAAAAAGCAUUUCAUAGCAAGGGCCGGGCAAGACCGGUGCCAGCCGCCGCGGUAACACCGGCGGCUCGAGUGGUAACCGUUAUUAUUGGGUCUAAAGGGUCUGUAGCCGGCCGGAUAAGUCUCUUGAGAAAUCUGGCAGCUUAACUGUCAGGCUUUCAGGAGAUACUGUCUGGCUCGAGGCCGGGAGAGGUGAGAGGUACUUCAGGGGUAGGGGUGAAAUCUUGUAAUCCUUGAAGGACCACCAGUGGCGAAGGCGUCUCACCAGAACGGACCUGACGGCAAGGGACGAAAGCUAGGGGCACGAACCGGAUUAGAUACCCGGGUAGUCCUAGCCGUAAACGAUACUCGCUAGGUGUCGGCCACGGUGCGACCGUUGUCGGUGCCGUAGGGAAGCCGUGAAGCGAGCCACCUGGGAAGUACGGCCGCAAGGCUGAAACUUAAAGGAAUUGGCGGGGGAGCAC
rnacentral:rRNA from 1 species